GCUGGGAUGGCCGAGUCGUUAAGGCGAGUGAUUUGAAUUACCAAUAUCACUUGGUGUUUCACCGCGUAGGUUCAAAUCCUGCUCCCAGCG